UUAUGGCUCAGGAUGAACGCUAGCUACAGGCUUAACACAUGCAAGUCGAGGGGCAGCAUGAGAUUAGCUUGCUAAUCUUGAUGGCGACCGGCGCACGGGUGAGUAACGCGUAUCCAACUUCCCCCUACUCAGGCAUAGCCCGGUGAAAACCGGAUUAACUCCUGAUAGUUUCACUAGAUGGCAUCUGACGGUGAAUAAAGCUCAGCGGUAAGGGAUGGGGAUGCGUCUGAUUAGCUUGUUGGCGGGUAACGGCCACCAAGGCGACGAUCAGUAGGGGUUCUGAGAGGAAGGUCCCCCACAUUGGAACUGAGACACGGUCCAAACUCCUACGGGAGGCAGCAGUGAGGAAUAUUGGUCAAUGGGCGCGAGCCUGAACCAGCCAAGUAGCGUGCAGGAAGACGGCCCUAUGGGUUGUAAACUGCUUUUGUGCGGGAAUAAAGUCAGGGACGUGUCCCUGUUUGCAUGUACCGCAAGAAUAAGGACCGGCUAAUUCCGUGCCAGCAGCAGC
rnacentral:rRNA from 1 species